GUGUCUCUUCACGUAGAACAAGAGGAGGCCACUCACACAGUAAACGAUGGGCCGUAAUCUUCACGUGCAUGAGUGUACGAGCGGUUCAUAUUGAAGUCAUAGAAUCCCUUGACACAUCCAGCUUCGUCAACGCGCUAAGGCGCUUUCUUGCUGUGCGCGGCCCUGUCAAACACAUCCGCUCAGACCGUGGCACCAACUUUGUAGGCGCCUGCCGGGAGUUGAAAAUACCCUCAAACAUUGACAACACAACUGUGAAGACUUACCUGUUAGGUCAAGGUUGCUCGUGGACCUUUAACCCUCCGCACGCCUCCCAUUUUGGCGGUUCGUGGGAAAGAAUGAUUGGUCUUGCAAGGAGAAUCCUGGACGCCAUGUUCCUUCAGCUGAAGGACAAACUUACCCACGAGGUGCUGGUGACUUUCAUGGCAGAAGUUACAGCCAUUAUAAAUGGCAGACCUCUUGUUCCUGUGACAACCGACUCUGAGGAUCCAUUUAUACUCACUCCAGCUGCCCUUCUCACGCAAAAGGUGAAUGUCUUGACUGCCCCUACCGGAGAGUUUGGAGUUUCAGACCUCUACAAGCGCCAGUGGCGACAGGUCCAGCACCUGUCUAACACCUUCUGGGACAGAUGGCGAAAGCAAUAUCUCCCGACACUACAGGCACGUAAGAAGUGGCAUUCCGCUCAUCCAAACAUCAGCCCAGGAAGUGUUGUUAUCCUCAAGGAUAGUCAAGCACCAAGAAAUGAAUGGCCUCUUGGACUGGUAACACAGGCGUUCCCCAGCGAGGACGGGAAGCAGGUCUCCGUAGAUCGUGGUUCCUUCUGGACCCUGGUCCUGACACCUGCCGUGGCCCUGCUGACACCUGUUGCUGCCAUCAUCGCUUCUGUGGAUGGUGGUUCUAUCUGAUGAUGGUUGCCCGUGCAGUGGUCCUGCUGUGCGCCUGGCUUACUCACAAUUAUUAGAAUCAUUUCUGUCAUAUGAAUUGUUCAUUCUGUACACAUGGCAUCCAUUGUAGUCUGUCCAUCACGGGAGUGGGAUCCCUGCUCUGAUGACUUUUUCCCUCUUGGAAGGGUUUUUUCAUUUAUUGGGGAGUUUUUCCUGUGCUAAUGUGUGGGUUUCGGGACAGAGGAUGUCGUAUGUGUACAUACUGUAAAGCCCUCUGGGGUAAAUUUCUAAUUUGCGACUUUGGGCUAUACAAAAUAAAAUGAAUUGAAUUGAAUUGAACAUAUUGUUGCUGUAUUUAUAUCUUUCUGCGGAACGACACAUAGGAUGAAUGUUGUGGUUUUUCAUGCGGCAAGAGACAUAUGCAACUUUUAUUGUGAGCUACACAGUAUGUUAACGAGACUGUCCACUAAAGGG
ensembl:lncRNA